ACUCCUACGGGAGGCAGCAGUGAGGAAUAUUGGGACAAUGGGGGAAAGCCCUCGAUCCAGCCAUGCCGCGUGUGUGAAGAAGGCCUUCGGGUUGUAAAGCACUUUCAGUGGGGAGGAAAGGUUGUUGGUUAAUACCUAACAGCUGUGACGUUACCCACAGAAGAAGCACCGGCUAACUCCGUGCCAGCAGCCGCGGUAAUACGGAGGGUGCAAGCGUUAAUCGGAAUUACUGGGCGUAAAGCGCACGU
rnacentral:rRNA from 1 species